rnacentral:rRNA from 1 species
GCAAGUCGAGCGGUAGCACAGGAGAGCUUGCCCUCUGGGUGACGGGCGACGGGCGGGUGAGGAAUGUCUGGGAUACUGCAUGAUGGAGGGGGAUAACUACUGGAAACGGUAGCUAAUACCGCAUAACGUCUUCGGACCAAAGUGGGGGACCUUCGGGCCUCACGCCAUCAGAUGUGCCCAGAUGGGAUUAGCUAGUAGGUGGGGUAAUGGCUCACCUAGGCGACGAUCCCUAGCUGGUCUGAGAGGAUGACC